rnacentral:lncRNA from 1 species
AAUAUUGUUUGGCCGUAUUAGAUUAUGUUGCUGAGGGUGAAGUUAAUGAAGAAAAUGACAUCUUUAGUAAACCUCCUUAUCUAUUAUCAUUGAUUGUGUUUGUGGAGCUGGAAAUGAAGAAAUUACCAAAAGUAUUUUCACAUCAUCUCCACAAUCUGCUGAUGUAUCUCAGAAACAAAAAGCUCGAGAACUUUCCUAAUAAUAACUCUGCUCAAAAUAUUGAUGUGGCAAUAGAGUUCUUGUUGGUUUUCCUUGAUGCUGAUGUGUCAAAUCAUGUUACUAAUGGUAACUGGUUGAAUGAGAUCUUGUUAAAGGUUGGAGCUAGAGCGGGUGAUAUUCUAUAUGUAAUUCAAAAGCUUCUUCCUAGAUCUAUAAACAAAGAUGACACUAGCAAAAUAAGUCUUUGCUCAAUACAGAUAUUGGAGAAGACUAAAGAUCUGAAGGAACAAGUUGAGAUGUACUACAAAUCCUUGAAAUUUACUCCAUCUUAGUUCCCCACCUUUGGUGGAUUGAGCUUUUUGGAUUCUCUUUUAAGGAAACUGAAUGAGAUGUCGAAAUCUAAGUCUGGUUUAGAUUUCCUGAUGAAACCACUUUUAGGGGAUUUGGAGAAAGAGCUAUCAUCUCUUACAUCCAUUUUAGAGAAGGAGCUAUCAUCCAUUUUCAGAGAUGUCGUGCACCAUGAACAUAAAAUUCCUAAAAGAUCUUCAGAGACGUACCAUCAAUUUGGCAUAUGAGGCUGAGGUUGCCAUUGACUCUAUUCUUGCUCAGUAUAAUGCUUUUUUGCAUAGUUUUUGCUCACUUCCUACAAUUUUAAAAGAGAUCAUGCAAAUUAAUGCAGAGGUGACUGAGAUGUGGUCAACGGACAUUCCUCUUAAUCCUCACUACGUGGCUGCUCCAUUUAAACAUCUACCAGCUCAACAUAGCAAUCCUGUGACUGAUGAGGAGGUAGUGGGUUUUGAGAAUAAAGCAGAAGAACUAAUUGAUUAUCUGAUUAGAGGUACAAAUGAGCUAGACGUCGUCCCAAUUGUAGGCAUGGGGGGACAAGGGAAAACGACAAUUGCUAGAAAGUUGUACAAUAAUGACAUCAUUGUUUCUCACUUUGAUGUUCGAGCAUGGUGCAUCAUUUCUCAAACAUAUAGCCGAAGAGAGCUAUUACAAGAGAUUUUCAGUCAAGUUAUGGGCUCCAAGGACAAGGAAGAUGCGGUAGGCGAACUUGCUGACAGGUUGAGGAAAAGCCUAAUGGGAAAGAGAUAUCUCAUUGUAUUGGAUGAUAUGUGGGAUUGUAUGGCAUGGGAUGACUUAAGGCUUUCUUUUCCAGAUGUUGGAAUGAGAAGCAGAAUAGUCGUAACAACUCGACAGUGGGUAAGCAAGUCAAGUACCAUACUGAUCCUUAUUCUCUUCCAUUCCUCACAACAGAAGAGAGUUGCCAAUUGUUGCAGAAAAAAGUGUUUCAAAAGGAAGAUUGCCCGCCUGAACUACAAUAUGUGAGUCAAGCAGUUGCAGAAAAAUGCAAAGGACUCCCCCUAGUGGUUGUCUUGGUAGCUGGAAUAAUCAAAAAAAGGAAAAUGGAAGAAUCUUGGUGGAAUGAGGUGAAAUAUGCUUUAUUUGACUAUCUUGAUAGUGAGUGCGAAGAAUAUAGUCUGGCGACUAUGCAGUUGAGUUUUGAUAACUUACCCGAUUGUUUAAAGCCUUGUCUUCUUUAUAUGGGGAUGUUUUCGGAGGACGCAAGAAUUCCAGCAUCUAAAUUGAUAAGUUUAUGGAUUGCUGAAGGAUUCGUGGAGAACACUGAAUCUGGGAGAUUAAUGGAAGAGGAAGCUGAAGGUUACUUGAUGGAUCUCAUUAGCAGUAACGUGGUAAUUGUUUCAAAGAAAGGUUAUAAUGGUAAAGUCAAAUGCUGCCAGGUUCAUGAUGUUGUGCAUCACUUUUGCUUGGAGAAGAGUAGAGAAGAAAAGUUUAUGCUUGCAGUGAAGGGUCAAUAUAUCCAGUUUCAACCCUUGGAUUGGAAGGGAAGUUGAGUAAGCUUCAGUUUCAGUGAAGAGCUUUCCAAGUUUGCAUCUCUGGUUUCCAAAACACAGAAGCCUUUCCACCAACACUUGAGGUCUCUGAUAAUGAUAAAUAAUGUAGUAUCUUUUGAUAUGAUUCCCUUCUGUUGGAUUAGUGAAAUGCGACUUCUUAAAGUCUUGGAUUUGAGUUCUUACAGUGUGCUGUUUUUGUCGUUAGCUGCAUUCAAACCACUAAAUCAGCUGAAGUACCUCGCAGUUUGGGCAGGUGAAUUCUAUUUUGAUCCAGGAUCACAUCUGCCCCAUAUAGAAACUUUAAUUUUGAAGAAUUUUCCUAUUGUACGGUUACCAGUGUCUUUUUUGUAGAUGGAAAAAUCAAGGCAUGUUGAGAUUAGGGAAGCUGAAUUUGAUAAGCAGGGAUUCUUUGAAGGAUCCUCUAAAUUGGAAAAUUUGAGGAUAUUAAAGAAAAUUGUUGGAUUUCCAAUUGAUAGGUUGGAUGUGUUAUCAAGGAGCUGUCCUAAUCUUCAACAACUUCAUAUCAAAUUUGAGGAUGAUGAAGAGCCUUUUUGUCCCAAAUUGGAGAAUCUUACCCAGCUUCAAGAGCUUCAACUUUCCUUUGUGCAUCCCCGCAUUCUAUCCGGGUUACAGUUGCCUUCAAAUUUAAAACAAGUUGGUACUUGAAGGAAUUCAUAUAGAAAGUGCUAUUUCCUUCAUUGCGGAACUACCAAGCCUGGAGUAUCUCCAAUUACAAGAUGUGUGUUUUCCUCAAUCAGAAGAGUGGUGCCUGGGAGAUAUCACGUUCCAUAAACUUAAGUUGUUGAAACUGGUGCAGUUAGGUAUCUCAAGGUGGGAUGCCUCGGAGGAAUCAUUUCCCCUGCUUGAAACACUUGUUAUAAAAAUGUGUGGCGACCUAGAGGAGAUACCCCUUAGCUUUGCAUAUAUUCCAACGCUGAAACAGAUUAAAUUGAUUGGGUCCUGGAAAGAAUCUCUGGAGGAUUCAGCUGUGAGAAUGAAGGGAGAAAUCGAAGAGAUUGAAGGAUGUGAUCGUAUACACCUCGUCAAAGAACAGUCAGAUUGGUGAGGGUUUUAAUAGCUAAUUGUUGCAGCCAUGCUCAUACAGAAGUAUAGCCCAUUUUCUUUUAUUGUAACAUUACUACUAUUUGCUAUGUUUGUUUUUAUUGAUAAACUCUUUUUAUGUAUGAUUGGAGACAAAUAUAUAUCUGUUGGUCUUUCACUGAUUUCUUGUUUUUAUGCAGCUUUAUACUUUUGACCAAUUUCUCUCCACUUACAUCAGAUCAACCAUGUUGUUGUUGUUGAGUACUUCUUGAUUUUCUAUUUUGCUGAACUAUCCAGAAAAGCUUAAGGUUAAACUGCUUCUUGUUGCUUGAGGUGCAAUGAAUUUCAAAGUUUGGACAAAUCCUUUUUUGUGUCCUUUGAUAUAAAGCCAUCAAGAAAAUCCUUCUUAGAACAGAAUUCUCUUGUAUGAGUAGUUGGUUCGUGGUUGAACUAACACGCACAAUCAUUUCGCUCCUGAGUUGUCCGCUUGGGACCAGAGAACUGGUGUUAACACACCAAUUCUAAUCCACCUAACAUAGACCAAAAUCAAAACUCUCUAUUAGGUGCAGCUUUUUGAAGUGCGAUUUCUGAUACUUUUUACAUCGUUCUAGUGUUAGAAAUUUCCACUGAACUUCAAACUGAUCUAAUUGUAUAGACGAGAGGGAGUUGCUCGGAUGGUAAGCACCCCUCACUUCCAACCCGAAGGUUGUGAGUUCGAGUCACCAAGGGAGCAAAAGGGGUGGGAGCUCCUAGGGAGGGUUAAAAAAAAAAAAUAAAAAAAAAAAAUCUAAUUGUAUAAUCCUCUUCUGUAAAUUGAGUGACUUUCUUUUGGGGUAUGGUGAAAGUUUAAGUAGCCAACCAAUUGAGCUAGUACAUGCUUUGUUGGAUAAUUUAAAAUAUUUGUACUAAUUAGUAUGGAACACGCGUGUUUGAUGACUAGUUAUUGAUACAAGCACAUAUAAAUUAUGCUUGAUUUACCAUUUCCUAUAGAAAGAAUGAAUACAUAAAAUGAAAAUUAUCGUAAGGUCUACGAUGUACGUAAUUUGAAUAGGUCAAUAGGAAUGAAACUCAGGAAGUUGUGGUACAAUUACCACAAUUAAUUAAUUAAGCAAUAAUUGUUGUUUAGUCUUCAUCCUACCAUUAUUAAUAUUUCAGAGCUCAUAUUAUCAGUCAAUAAGCCAAUAGGAAAGAAACGAUAACAAGUAUAUAAGUUAUAAUAAAGCAAUAAUUGUUCGCAGUGGCGAAUUUAGGUGCAAAAAAUAGGGCACCCGAACCCGUGGUCUCUUCGUAAAAUUAGAUAUUUUAUGUAUAUAUUUUCUAACAUUUGUAUAAUAUUAUAUUCUUGCACCCGUACUAUAAAAAUUUUAGUUGAUCCACAUGGUUAAAUGUUGAGCUUUUGACUUUGAGGACUAAAGAUCAAUUCCCACUUAAUACAUUUUUCUUGGUGCACCCAUGUUCGGAUCAUCCUAGAUUCGCCUCUGAUUGUUGGUUACCUAGUAUUAGAUAAAUUAUUUAUGCAAAAAGUCAGAGCUCAUACAUACACUCUGAUUGUGCCUUUUUAAACUUGAAUUAUUCUUUGAUCUUAUCAGCUAUCUCUCUACAAGACAACACCUUGUGGCUGCAGGCAAAUUGAAUUCAUGGUCAUUGAGGUGAGUUUUUUUUAACGUACCUCCUACGAUUUUUAGAAAAUUUUCAAGAAAUUAUUUAUCCACAGUAAUUGUUUAUAUCAAGCCAUGAAAAUUUAUGAUAGUUAAGUGGUUUAAUGCGGUGAGAUUGCAUGUUAAUUACCGAAUUUGGUGGCUUAAAGGAAAGAGAGCUGAGUAACUUCGCCCACCAAGGCUUAAACAAAUAGGAAAGGAAUCACCUACUUCUAUCAUUUUUUCUCCGCUGGUGUGAACCUGAGACUUCGUGGUUCUCCAUCCAUUUUAUUGGGCUACAAGGUCACACUGUUGGAUGCAACGUUAUAUCUGAAAAUUCGUGGGCAUAUAUUGUUGAUCUGAUCAUUUCUAUGACUUCUGUUUUUAUCUUACUCUUGAAUCUUUAGAACUUUUCUUCGGUGGAACUUAAAUGUAAUUUUACUUAUAGUUAUCAUUUCCUUUGUUUCUUUCUAGAAUUGAAUACGAAAUUGGAGAUAUAAAAAAGGAGAUAGGAGACAAAAGUACGCGCUUGAGUGAUUGUAAGACUUGAGCUGAACUUGUGUUAGGUACUUUCCUUCUUUUGCAAAUCGUUAAGUUGGUUUCAAUUAUUAGCUGAAGUGAAAAAAUGUACUGAACUUGCGGGAAUUUUCUACUAUAUUUUCAGGAAAAUGGCUCAAAUUAAUGACAUUGACGAUGUGUUAUAUCACCUAAGAAGGAUCAAGAGUCAAGGUGAUCAGAGUAGCAUCAAGAUUGAUCAGAUUGAGAAACUUGAAAUGGAGCUAAGAAUGUUUAGAACCUUUAUAAAGUAUUAUCAUAUUCUUUUGCAUGAUUUCUUUGUCAAACCCACAAAGAUCGCCAAAUUGAUCGUGAAAAUGCUUCACCGGGUAUUUGAUGGAAUUCCAUAUGAAUGUAAAACUAACCUUGAUCAGGAAAGACUGGUAGCACAGUUAUUGAAUUUCAUAGAUGAAGGUAAUUCCAGUUUGAGGUACAAUUAUGAGUUCAUGAAUGAUUCUUAUCUAUCAGAUUAUAUGGAUUGCCUCGGAAAGAAUCUAAAUGAUGUACUGAUAAUGUGCCUGAAAUUGGAUAGGUCUGAUCCUUCUUGGACGAAUGAAAAAAUCCUUCACUAUAAUCGAUUUAUAAAGCAACUGAAAAUUGUUCAAAAGAAAAUGAGAUUUUUGAGAUACUUAUAUGCCACAGAGAUAAAUGGUUACAUCGACCAUGAGAAGCUGGAAUGUUUGGAGACUCGAAUUCAGUUCAUGGCUAAUAAUGUGGGACAGUUUUGUCAUGCUUUUUCGAUUAAUGUAUCUGAGUUUGAAGAUGAUACAGAUGAGGAUGAGGAUGAGGAUGACAAGGAUGAGCAAGAAUACAUGAAUAAACCUCCAUAUCUGUUAUGUCUAAUUGAGCUAGUGGAGAAUAGUCAUUGCACUAGUAGCGUCUACGAGCCUCCCGCUUCGGUACCAUCUCCUUUUUUACCAGCCGAGCUGCCCUGAAAUGAAGAAGAUUUUUCUUGGUGAGCUAAAGGCUUCAAAGUUCACUCAGUUAGAAACUUUCAAGAACAAGAAAUUACCAAAAGGAUUUUCACAUCAUCUCCGUAGUCUGCUGGUGUAUCUAAAAAACAAAAAGCUCCCAAUCUUUCCUACUAAUGUCUCAACCCAAAAUAUUGAUGUGGCAAUAGAUUUCUUGUUUGUGUUUCUUGAUGAUGAUGGGUCAAAUCAUGCUAUUAAUAGUAAGAUGAUGAAUGAGGUCUUCGAAAAGGUUGUAACCAUAGUGGGUGAUGUUCUAUAUGUAAUUCAAAAGCUUCUUCCUAGAUCUGUAAACAUAGAUGACAUGACUAGCAAAACAAAUAUUUGCUCGAUACAGAUAUUGGAGAAAAUUAAAGAUCUGAAGGCACCAAUGGAGACGUACUACAAAUCCUUAAAGUUCAGUACUCCAUCUCAGUUUCCCACUAUUGGUGGAUUGAGUUUUCUGGCUUCUCUUUUAAGGAAACUGAAUGAGAUGUCGAAAUCUAAAUCAGGUUUAGAUUUCCUGAUGAAGCCUCUUUUUGGUAACUUGGAGAAAGAGCUAUCAGCCCUGACAUCCAUUUUAGAGAAGGAGUUGUCAUUUUUAUCAUCCAUUUUCAGAGAUAUCGCAAAGGUGCACCAUGAACAUGAAAUUCUGAAAGCUCUUCACAGGCAUACUAUCAAUUUGGCAUAUGAAGCUGAAGUUUCCAUUGACUCUAUUCUUGCUCAAUAUAAUGUUUUUUGGCAUAUUUUCUGCUCACUUCCUGCAAUCUUGAAAGAGAUUAAGCAAAUCAGUUCGCAGGUGACUAAGAUGUGGUCAGCAGACGUUGCUCUUAAGCCUUGCUAUGUGGUAGCGCCAUCUAAACACCUGCCAACUCAACAUAGCAAUCCAGAGACUGAUGAGGAGAUAGUAGGUUUUGGGAAAGACACAGAAAAAAUGCUUCAGUAUCUGAUUAGAGGUACAAAUGAGCUAGACGUCGUCCCAAUUGUAGGCAUGGGGGACAAGGGAAAACCACAAUUGCUAGAAAGUUGUACAAUAAUGACAUCAUUGUUUCUCGCUUUGAUGUUCGAGCAUGGUGCAUCAUUUCUCAAACAUAUAGCCGAAGAGAGCUAUUAAAAGAGAUUUUCAGUCAAGUUACGGGCUCCAAGGACAAGGAAGAUGAGGUAGGCGAACUUGCUGACAGGUUUAGGAAAAGCCCAAUGGGAAAGAGAUAUCUCAUUGUAUUGGAUGAUAUGUGGGAUUGUAUGGCAUGGGAUGACUUAAGGCUUUUCUUUUUCCAGAUGUUGGAAUGAGAAGCAGAAUAGUCGUAACAACUCGACUUGAAGAAGUGGGUAAGCAAGUCAAGUACCAUACUGAUCCUUAUUCUCUUCCAUUCCUCACAACAGAAGAGAGUUGCCAAUUGUUGCAGAAAAAAGUGUUUCAAAAGGAAGAUUGCCCGCCUGAACUACAAUAUGUGAGUCAAGCAGUUGCAGAAAAAUGCAAAGGACUGCCCCUAGUGAUUGUCUUGGUAGCUGGAAUAAUCAAAAAAGGAAAAUGGAAGAAUCUUGGUGGAAUGAGGUGAAAGAUGCUUUAUUUGACUAUCUUGAUCAUGAGUCGGAAGAAUAUAGUCGGGUGACUAUGCAGUUGAGUUUUGAUAACUUACCCGAUUGUUUAAAGCCUUGCCUUCUUUAUAUAGGGAUGUUUCCGGAGGACGCAAGAAUCCCUGUGUCUAAAUUGAUAAGUCUAUGGAUUGCGGAAGGAUUUGUGCAGAACAUUGAAUCAGGGAGAUUGAUGGAAGAGGCAGCUGAAGGUUUCUUGAUGGAUCUCAUCCACAGUAACGUAGUAAUGGUUUCAAAGAGAGAAUAUAACGGGAAAGUCAAAUACUGCCACGUUCAUGAUGUAGUGCUUCACUUUUGCUUGGAGAAGAGUAGAGAAGAAAAGUUUAUGUUGGUUAUGAAGGGAAAUUGUAGCAAAUUUCAACCUUUUGAUUGGAAGGAAAGUCGAAUGAGGUUCAUUUUGACUGAAAAGCUUUCAAAGUUUGCAUCUCUGGAAUCCAAAACACGGAAGUCUUUCCACCAACACUUGAGGUCACUGAUAAUGACAAAUGGAUUACUAUAUUUUAAUUGGAUUGUCUUCCCUCAGGUUAGAGAAAUGAGACUUCUUAAGGUCUUGGAUUUGACUUCCUUUGAUGUCAAAUACUUGUCGUCAGCUACAUUGAAACCACUGAUUCACCUGAAAUACCUUGGAGUUAGCGCAUGUGAAUUUUAUUUUCAUCCUGAACCACAUCUUUCCCAUCUUGAAACUUUAAUUGUGAAGGAUUUAUUAUUCAGGUAUACAGAGUUACCAGAUAUUUUUUGGAAAAUGGAACAAUUAAGGCAUGUUGAUAUUAAUAAAGCUGAAUUUUAUUUGGAAGAGGGGAUGAUUGAAGAAUCCUGUAAAUUGAAUAAUUUGAGGAUAUUAAGGCGAGUUCGAAUUUACAAUGCUGCUAGUGAGGAUGUGUUAAUACAGAGUUGUCCUAAUCUUCAACAACUGUACAUCACAUUUGAGGAGAGUGUACCUGGAGAGCCUUUCUGUUUCACAUUGGAGAGUCUUAUCCAGCUUCAAAUACUUAGCCUUUCCUGUGAUUGUUGUCUCUCAGGUUUACAGUUGCCUUCGAAUUUAAAAAAGUUGGUACUAAGAGGGAGUAAUAUAGAAAGUGCAAUUCCCGUCAUUGCAGGACUACCAAGCCUGGAGUAUCUCCAAUUAUGGAACUCAGAUUAUUUUCAAUCAGAAGAGUGGAGCCUCGGAGAUAUCACAUUCCAUAAACUUAAGUUGUUGAAAAUGGUGUUCUUACGUAUCUCAAGGUGGGAUGCCUCAGAUGAAUCAUUUCCCCUGCUUGAAACACUUGUUAUGAAAAAGUGCACUGAGCUAGAGGAGAUCCCCCUUAGCUUUGCCGAUAUUCCAUCAUUGAAACAGAUUAAGUUGAUUGGAUCCUGCAAAGAAUCUCUGGUGGCUUCAGCUAUGAAAAUUAAGGAAGAAGUCGAAGCUAUUGAAGGAUGUGACCGUCUUAACCUCUUCAAAGAACAGUCAGAUUGGGGAGAAUUUUGAUAGCUAAUUGUUGCAGCCAUGCUCAUCCUCUUAUAUUGUAACACUAGUACUGAUUGUUAAGUUUGUUUUGAUUGAUCAACUCUUUUUAUGAUUGGAGAUAAAUAUAUAUCAGAUGGUCUUUCACAACCUGUCAAAUCAUUGUUCCAUUUCUAUAAUCUUUCACCAGGUAAUGGGCAUGAUCUUGGUCAUUUCUAGUUAUCUUUAGCAAAAACAGUUAUCUCUUUCGAAAUGACAUUUUUGGCUACGAUUCUUGCAAUAUAUUAGCUACUAAAAAAAAAUUUCUCUUGUAUGGGUAGUUGGUUCGUGGUUCAACUAACAUGCACAAUCAUUUCACUCCCAAGUUGUUAACUUCGGACCAAAGAAUCGGCAUUAAGACACCAACUCUAGCCUACCUAAAAUAGACCGAAAUCAAAACUCAUUAUUAAGUACAUCUUUUUGAAGUGCAAUUUCUGAUAUUUUUUACAUGAUCUAAGUGUCUAGUGCAGUUCUUUUUUUGUUGCUUUUUUAAAAAAAUAAAAAAUAGGAGACUUCCUGAUGUUUGAGAUUAAACUUUUUUCAUUAUUUUCAUCAAAGUUAUUAAGAAAAUUAUUAAAUACUUGCGGAGAUUAAAAUCUUAACUUUUGGCAAACUUAUAAGACUCAAAUUAUUCAAUGCAUACUUAAAAGGACUAUUUUGAAUCUUUCUCAAACACAAGGGAUCAUUUUUGUCGCUUAAAAAAUAUUGUGUAUUUCAGUUCUCCCCUUGCAAUGUUCUACCCUGGAAAAUUGUAGAAGAAGAGUGUUGAGAGAAUUCAUCAGAGAAAUCCAAUGUGGGAGUGUUUCACUCCUCAAUGUGGGACUUUAUUACGUCACGAAUUCAAAUUGGAUCGGGCUCCAACGUGGAUACCGAACACUGGAUGGGAAACAAAACAAUAUAUGUAGUACGACAUGAAAUGAAUAAAUAAGGGGAUUUGGCCCUUAAGAAACAAAAAAAUCAAUGUUUUGUAUUGUGAUUGGGCCUGUCCUGAGAACAGACUCCAUUCACAAAAUAUAUGGAAGAAUUAUCACCACUCCUUUUUUAUCCUUGUUUGAUUUAUGACAUAUGAUUUAUCCUUUUUUCAAUUAUGUUUUUUUCAAAAAAUAUAAAAACUUAUUCAAGUUUAUAUUUUGUAAAAAAAACAAAUCAUUAUUUUCAGUUUUACAAAAAUAAACUCAUGUUCGACGUGAAUAGAUUGUCCGUCGUAUCAUGUGAAAGAAUUACUAGUUACUACUAUUGUUGACUAGUGGAUUUUUAUAAGUUUAUGUACAUUUGAAAGUUAAAAGAAACAUAAAUAUAUGUAAUUCAUCGAUGUGAUGCUUUAGAUAUUAUGAUAUCUUGUUUACGAACGAUGAUUUACUCAUUCGAUAAGAUUGCAUAAGAAUUGAUUUUCAUAGUUUUCACAACUUGUGUAUUUUCAUAUUUAUGAGAAAAAAUAUAACUUCAUGUCCGACCCAAUACCCAACCAUAAAAUCCCUUAAUUAUAUGGUAAGCAAGUAUCAUAGAAGUGUAUAGCUUAAGUACGAAACUAACAAACCACAUAAAUUUUUGGGGGAUUUUCCGAAAGAGUCAUCUGGUGUGAAGUAUGAAGUAUAAUAAUUUUGAGAUAAAAUAUAGAAUUAUUUUAUCCUGCGUUUGGUUGGAGGCAUGUUAGGUACAUAGUCCUUGGAUUAUGUAUCCCAUCAUUUAUACCAUAGUGAUGGAAUAUAUAAUUAAUUAUUAUCCCAUAUACAUAAUGAAAUAACGUAUUCCGGAAUAAUAACUCUCGAAACAACUUGUUCCAACCAAACAACCCCUAAAGAAAAAGGCAAAUAAUAUAGGUGUAUUAUUGAGUCAUUUUACAGCUACCACCUAAAGCAACUUGCUACUACAAUUCAUCUCUUGUUAGGUAUAAGAAUUAUUAGAGAGAGAGAGCAGAAGACUCUUCCUUCUUCCUUCAAACCUUCAUCCAUUUUAUUUCAAUAAACUUUUUUCUUAUUUCACCUAUUACGUAAACUUGGAAAUAUAUCUUUGUUGGAAUCCAAAUCUGAGAAAUUGAAGAUUCUUGUUUACUAACUGUAAGUCAUCUUCUUCAUGAAUUACUUUUUUCCCAUAGAUACAGAAUUAGAGAGUUGAUUUCUCAAAUGGUUCACUCAACUAUUAGUUAGUAUCUCAUAAAAUUGAAAAUGAAAGAAAGACGAUUUUUCUGAGAUAAUAAUUAGUUAAGUGACAUUUGACAAUAUGAAAAUGGUACAUAAGAUGUAUAACUUUUCACAAGCAUUAACAUAGCUUCAAACACUAGAUAUAUUGAAAGACAUGAACCUAAUUCCAUGAGUUGGUGAACUUGCAGGAAUUUUUCUGCAGAAAAUGAAUGAAAAUGAAAUUGAGGAAAUGUUAGAUCACCUAAGAAGGAUCAAAAUUGAAGGUAACCUGAGUACCUACAUGAUUUGGGAUAUUCAGGAUCUUGAAAUUGUGCUAAGAGUUUUUAGAACCUUUAUAAAGUAUCAUGUUCUUUUACCUGAUUGUUUAAUCAAACUCACAAAAGAAAGCCAAAAUGGACUGUGGAAACGCUUCAUCGGGUAUUUAAUGGGAUUCCGGAUGAAUGUAAAACUAACCUUAAUCUGAAAAGGCUAGAAUCACAUUUGUUGGAAUUCUUUGAAGGUAACUCCAGUUUAAGUUACAAUUAUGAGUUGAAUGAUUUUGAUCUGUCGAAAUAUAUGGAUUGUCUGGAAAAAAUUCUAAGUGAUGUACUAAUGAUGUUCCUGGAUAAGGAUAGGUCCUGUCAUCUCAAAAAAAAACUUGUAAUACAUCUAUCUAUGAAGAAACUGAAAAUUGUUCAAAAGAAAAUGAGAUUUUUGAGAUAUAUAUAUGCCACAGAGAUAAAUGGUUACGUCAACUAUGAUAAGCUGGAAUGUUUGGAGACUCGAAUUCAAUUUAUGGCUAACAAUGUGGGACAAUAUUGUUUGGCCGUAUUAGACUAUGUUGUUGUUGUUGAAGUUAAUGAUGAAAUUGAUUUCUUUAAUAAACCUCCUUAUCUAUUAUCAUUGCUUGUGUUUUGUGGAGCUGGAAAUGAAGAAGAUUUUUCAUGGUGAACUAAAGGCUUCAAAGUUUACUCAAUCAAAACCAUUCAAGGACAAGAAAUUACCAAAAGAAUUUUCACAUCAUCUCCACAAUCUGUUGAUGUAUCUCAAAAACAAAAACUUGAGAACUUUUCCUAAUAAUAUCUCUGCUCAAAAUAUUGAUGUGGCAAUAGAAUUCUUGUUGGUUUUCCUUGAUGCUGAUGUGUCAAAUCAUGUUAUUAAUGGUAACUGGUUGAAUGAGAUCUUGUUAAAGGUUGGAGCUAUAGCGGGUGAUGUUCUAUAUGUAAUUCAAAAGCUUCUUCCUAGAUCUAUAAACAAAGAUGACAAUAGCAAAAUAAGUCUUUGCUCGAUAGAGAUAUUGGAGAAGUCUAAAGAUUUGAAGGCACAAGUUGAGACGUGCUACAAAUCCUUAAAAUUUACUCCAUCUCAGUUCCCCACCUUUGGUGGAUUGAGCUUUCUGGAUUCUCUUUUAAGAAAAUUGCAUGAUAUGUUAUGUCGAAAUCUAAGUCUGGUUUAGAUUUCCUGAUGAAAC